UGCCUAUCCGCGGGCGACACAGUGUUUACGUGUGUGGGGGGUUUACUCGGGGCGAUCACAUUCGGACAUUGAUUCGUGAAGUGCCCUGGCUUGUCGCAGUGUAUGCAGACUCCUCUGGUGAUUUGGUCAGCGGCGUCCUUCUCUGAGAUGUUGGGGACCCUUGGGUGACUUGUGUUUACAUGUGGGACCCAGUCCAUUGAUUCUGGUUCGGAGGCGGGGGGCGCUGCAGAGUGGUUUGGGGUGUACACAUUUGUUCGGCGGAAUCCUCUGUGAUUUUGGAGUGCGCGGAACUGAGACAGGUUGUUGUCCAACAGAUGAAGAUCAGCACAGAAUUCACUGUAUGUUGAGGGCUUCAGAUGCUCUACACUUCAGUUAUGCAAUUGGAAGUUCAAGUUCUUGAACAAUAUGUUGAUCUUGACAGUGUUGUCUCAGUCUUGCCCACCUGCUUCUAGGAGCUUGCGAUUGAAUUCAGAAAGAUAAGUUGCCAACACGACAUUCAUCUGAUGAGUUCAAUUAAGCCAGUCUAACACCUUGGCUUGAAGCAUAGGAUUGAGGAAGAGGGAGUUGAGUUGUUGGAAGACUAGCUCUGGUGUACACUGAUGAUCCUGGCAAUGGCUCAUCCAGGGUUGGAAUUUUGCUAAUGCAUCGCCAUCCAACCUGCUAUGGAUAUACCACACUUGAUUGGAUAGUGAGCCUAUUGCUCAUCCAUCGAUGUCCAAUUUGGUGUUCACUUUUGACUUCCACAUGAGGUAGAGUGCUAGGUCUUCCUCAUAUUUGUCGAGGAUUGGAAGCUUCUCUCUUGGGGGCUUUUUGUGAGGCGUGGGUGUAGAAGGAACAGUGAAUGUGGGAGUGCUCAUCUCAGCAAGUCAUUGUUGCAAUUCAGCCAUCUGUAGCAUCUGCUGCUGGAGGAUGCUUCAUAGGUCUAAGUUAUCGUCUGCCGCAUUCGGGUGCGGCGGGUGUUUGUAGAAUUGCUUGUAGUUCAUUUCAAUAUCUAAGAACAUAUAAUAAUAAAAAAAAAAAA
rnacentral:sRNA from 1 species